rnacentral:tRNA from 1 species
AAGAGAAAAAUGUAUUUUAAAGGAGCUGCUAACUACCUUUAUUAAUGGUUGAAUUCCAUUAUUCUCUUA